UACGUAGGGUGCGAGCGUUGUCCGGAAUUAUUGGGCGUAAAGAGCUUGUCGGCGGUUUGUCGCGUCUGCCGUGAAAAUCCGAGGCUCAACCUCGGACUUGCGGUGGGUACGGGCAGACUAGAGUGUGGUAGGGGAGACUGGAAUUCCUGGUGUAGCGGUGAAAUGCGCAGAUAUCCGGAGGAACACCGGUGGCGAAGGCGGCUUCCUGGACCGACACUGACGCUGAGGCGCGAAAGCUAGGGGAGCAAACGGG
rnacentral:rRNA from 1 species